AUGGGAGGCGUGUUUGGACGCCCCGACGCCGGCAGGCAGGGCUCGCAUGGCAUGAAGCUAGAGUCGAAGAUGGUGGAGUCCAUGAAGCAGAGAGCGGCGCAUGGAACUUCGGUCAAGUCGUUCAAUACUAUUAUCAUGAAGUUCCCCAAAAUCGACGAGGGCUUGAGAAAAUGCAAGACUAUCUUUGAGCAAUUCGAUGAAGAUUCCAAUGGUGAAAUUGAUAAAGAAGAGCUGAAGCAUUGUUUUCAGAAGCUGGAAAUCUCAUUCACAGAGGAGAUAGGCGAUCUCUUUGAAGCUUGCGACAUAAAUGAAGAUAUGGGCAUGAAGUACAAUGAGUUCAUUGUCUUUCUGUGCCUUGUUUAUCUUCUCAAUGAUCCGACUGCGUCAGAAGCAAAGACAAAGAUGGGAUUAGGAGAUCUUGAGUCAACUUUUGAGACCUUGGUUGAUGCAUUUGUCUUCUUGGAUAAGAAUAAGGACGGGUAUGUGAGCAAGGAUGAGAUGAUUCAAGCAAUAAAUGAGAGCAUACCAGGGGAACGCUCCGCUGGCCGUAUAGCCAUGAAAAGAUUUGAGGAGAUGGAUUGGGACAAGAAUGGGAUGGUUACCUUCAAGGAAUUCCUGUUUGCAUUCACUCGCUGGGUAGGGAUUGGCGAAAAUGAGGACGACGAUGAAUGA
rnacentral:rRNA from 1 species